CCUGGGAUGGUAUUUCUUCUCAUCUGACCUGGGCAGGUGGGACUAUGCUCUUCCAUUUAAAAAACAGCAAAACAUGGGGCGCCCGGGUGGCGCAGUCAGUUAAGCGUCCGACUUCAGCCAGGUCACGAUCUCGCGGUCUGGGAGUUCGAGCCCCGCGUCGGGCUCUGGGCUGAUGGCUCAGAGCCUGGAGCCUGCUUCCGAUUCUGUGUCUCCCUCUCUCUCUGCCCCUCCCCCGUUCAUGCUCUGUCUCUCUCUGUCCCAAAAAUAAAUAAACGUUGAAAAAAAAAAUUUUUUUUUAAAUAAAAAACAGCAAAACAAAGGUGACUCCUCCUACGUCUUAUCCAUGUUUCUCCUUUCCAACUAGUUCUGUAGAGCUCAGAGGACGGAGGACGGCCUCACACUUUGCACCCAUGACUCUCUUGGACUGAAUGGUAUGCAAGACAAGCCCUAGCUGAAGAAACAACGGAGAUCAAGGUACUGAUUCACUCUGAUGAUACGAGAUGUGAGAUUUCACAGUAGGAGCUGCGAUAUGCAGGUGAAAUCCCAGUCAAGUUACUUCCUCUCCUGAGACGUAACUUGCUGCCCUGUAAAGUGAGCUGAUUGGGUUUGAAAAGCAUCACGGUACUUUCCAGUCCUACAAUGUUAUGUUCCAUGUUUGGUCUUAAGUAUAGACGGCAAACAAUUAGACCACCGCACACACAAAAAUGAGAAGUUUAAUUCAACAGAUAGUUAUUGAGAGCUGCCUCUAUUUUCAGGCAACACACUAGUGAGGAGGUAUUUAAGGAUAUGUAAGAGAUGAAUCCUACCUUUAAGCACACACAACCUAAUGGAUCAGAAUAAGACUCUAGAUUAAAGGCUCUAGAGUGAAGGCACACCGUUUCCCUUGGAACCUUUCGGGUCAUUUGUUUAACCUCUCUGAACCUACUUGGUAAUGUGUAAAUUGUGAAUGGUAAUGGCUCCAACUAGGAGUGAGACAUAAAUGAGGGUAUAUGAAGUUUUGUUACUAAGCCAUUUAUAUUACCGUUCUGCCCUCCUGAAACAGCAUUUUUCUUUCCCAGCCCGGACCGUUUUGCAAACCGUCUCCAUUUUUAAUCGCCUCAUUUCUUGAAGUUGAAUUUUCUAUUAAUGCUUUGAGAUGCAUCUCAAGUUCCACUUCUCCAUGCCGACUUAUCUGUCUGUUUCAGCCAAUACAAAUCUCCCUUGUCUCUGGGUUUUUUGGUGCCUUGUUAAAACCUUUAUAGGGUCUUUCCUAUUGCUUCAUAAUUGACUCAGGUAUGUAUGGUUGUAAGUAUUCUUGAACCCCAGCUUCUUAUGCUACUAACUGCCUACAGGGACCUUGAAUUCUACAGGUGUCAAGUCGAAUCCAUCAUCUUGCCCAAAGAUGCUGUUCCUCUUCUAGGGCUCAUUGCAGUUAAUAGUUUCUCACUUGCUUCCACUAGCUACCUAAGUACUUAUCAUGUUUCCUCUCCAUCGCACCCCCCUCCAGUCCAUACUAUUAAUCCCAAUUUACAUGCAUCACUCAAAUCAUCCUUUCUCAACUCCAUUGUCUCAGGCUUACAGGAGCAUUUCUCGACCGGGUUAAUGGAAUGGCAGAGGGCAGGAUGUCUCAGUAUCACCGAGCCAAGCUUUUCAAAAUAUCCUUAUUUACCUUCCAGUCACCCCGUAUCAGAUCAGAAACUUGGUUGGGGGAAAAGACAGAAGACCAGGGAGGGGAAAAAACAGCCUGUGUCCUCUGCACAAAGCUUCCCUGGUUAUUCUGAUGUAUUGCUCAUCACUGCUGAGAACCAGCGUUUCAACCUUCCUCCUCCCCAAUCCUUUCUCCCUCUAUUGCCCAACUUACUUCUCAAAACUUCCAAUAACAACGGCACCUCAUUGCCUUUCAGGAACAAACAAACAGACAACAGAUUCCUGAACCUGGCUUUCACAUGGCCCCAGGCCGCUUCCCUGACCUGGUGUCCUCCAAUUUCUUCCAUGCCCAGGAAGUUCCAGACAAACCAACCAGACCUCGUUCUCCUAGACACAGCAUACCGUCGAUUCACGCCAUUACCCCUUGGAAUCGCCUUCUGUUCUCAGAUCACUAACCUCGCUGAAAAAAAUCCCACUUAACUUUCGAUGUCCAAGCCAACGCCGGCUCCUCCGAUGCCGACCCUCUUUCAGGCAGAAUUAGCUGUUCCCUCUUCUACACCUUCCCAGCAUUCUAUUCACGAGGCUAAUCUACUGACCAACAGUUUGGGUAAGCUACCUUUCUUGCCUCCCUCCAAAAAGACAUAAGCCCUUCUUUUUGGUCUCCUACGUAAUCAAGUAACUCUGUUACACUUACACCCUAUUCCACUGUGUGUGCUUGAGUGGGUGCGUGUGAGUGGGCACUGAGUUUCAUAACCUCUCUGUCUACUACAUUAAACCACGAUCUCCUCAAAGAUCAGUACUGUCUUAUCUUUCUUUGAAUCCCUCGCGCCAAGAGAGAGCACAGAGUUUUAGUAGCCACUAAAUAAUUCUUCAGUCAAAAUUAAAAUUAGACAUCGUCCCCUAGUCAGCCUCUCCCAGCUCUAAGAAGUGGGCUUCUGUCACCACAGCACACUGUGCAUACCAACUUUAACUGAGACUAUCUGCCGAUGAGUCCAUGUCCUUGACUAAGACUGGAGACCAAUGUUCGAGAACAACGGAACAGAGUUUCCCGUUGUUUCUUUCAGGCAUACGCACCGCAUCUUUCACCACUCUUACAUUUUGACAUCUCCUCCAGCCCUGGACUGAGAGCAAGCAUUUAGCAAGUAUCUGUCAAGUGGCAGACCCUUCUUGAAUGUUCCAGAAUAAGUUGAGAGGACGCCAUGUCCCUCUCAGCUGUGUUUCCAGGAAAGGACGGAUUGAGCCUUUCAGGGCUACACCCCCCCAACCUUAACUGAUGUCCUGUAUCUAUCCUGGUAUUUCAGUGUGAUUAGUCAAGUCACCACAAACGAGAAUCUGUCACUGUCCUCAUUUCCGGCUCAUUUACAUGGUCCGACACCAGCCCUUUGCUCCUCUCCAGUUGUCCCAAUAUGUUCACCAGAUUGGCAUGUAUCAUACUAACCUUGCCCAGGAGUAAAAAUAAAAUAAAAUAAAAUUAGAUGAGACACAGAAAUAAAAUUCUCAGAUAAAUUAAAAGUAAUGCCUACUUAUGUGACAAGCUCUAUUCGAAACUGAGGGUUGGGUCACUGUUCAAUGCAAUCAGAGUACACAGGCCUACUGAGUAAUGAAAACUUUUAACAUUACUUUCCCCACAACUGAAGAAUUUUUGAAAUUUUGUUUUUAAAAAAUACACCACAAAUACCAGGCCGUUUAUAAGCAUAAACUCAAUCUCACCUUAUUAUUAAAAGUUAUGAAGACACUGCAUGGUAUGUUUUAUUUUACGCAAUAAUAAUAACUACCUUGUUUCUUAAAAGCAUAAACAUGAUAAAACCUCCCUUUUUCUCCAUAUUUAAAUAAAAUAAUACACAUAACCUUAUACAAGUUUAUAAAUGGCUCCACCAUUUUGAAUGCUGAGGCACAACUUAGUGGCCACCAUCAUUCAAAACAUCGUUAGCUCCCGAGCAACCAAGGAGAUCAUUUUUCUAGAAGUUGGGAAAUCGCAUUAACUUGUGUUAAGAAAAAAGGAAAAGCUCACCAUGAGUCACAGCACACAGACAGGGAGGAGGGCAGAAAGCACGGUAGCCAUCAUAAUAUAUCACAAUAGCAGAGAUGUCAAAAAAUUUUAGAGUUUCCUUCCAGAUAGGUCUAGGUGUGAAAUUACUUGGAGGCAGAAAAUAAUGACCCUGAACUUCUUAUUUAAGAUAAAGGACAUGGGAUAUUGGUGAACUUUAAUUCACAUUUUAUGACUGUAUUUAAAAGUCCCCAGAGUCAUGAUUACUCUCAAUUUCUAGGAUCUGGGACAGAUGAUUGUCUUUCUGCAGUGAAGUCAUUUGUGUGAUUAGCUGCAGUGCUGUAUUUUAAGGCCCCAUUGAGAAGAACAAAAUGAAGUCAAGAAUCGAGGCACUAGUCCAGAUGAGUCUUAUAAAAUCUGAUACUAGAAAGAAAGAUUAGUCUUGGCUUAUGUGAUCGUAACUGACCAUCUAUACCACCAACAUUCGCUGGUAUAAAAUAAAGUGACAUGGAAUAUACAACCAACCAGUCCUAAUCGGGGAAGGACAGGCCCCAGUUCGGGUCACCAUGCUGAGUUGCCAUUUUAGGUCAUUUCUCAGAUUAGCAACGAGUGGGCAAGAAGAACCAUUUUUAGAAGUUUUCUUUAGUCCAUCCUAAUGUUCCUAGAUGUUCCACUUUGUCCAGGCUUUCCAGGAAAAGAAAGUUCAAAAUUAUCUUAAAUGUCUCUCCAAUGUGCAAAAAGAUUGAUCCUUUUUACCAGGGAAUAGGUCUCUGAAACCAAUAAAGUGCAUCUUACUGAAACAACCUUCCUCUUCGACUGUGAAUUUUUAAAUAAUGGUUUCAUGUUUAUUUAUUCUGAGAGAGAGCGGGUGAGCAGGGGAGGGGCAGAGAGAGAGAGAGAGAGAGAGAGAGAGGGAGGCAGAGAAUCCCAAGUAGGCUCCACGCUGUCAGCACAGAGCCCAAUGCAGAGCUCCAUCCCACAAACCAUGAGAUCAUGACCUGAGCUGAGAUCAAGAGUUGGAUGCGUAACUGACUGAGCCACCCAGGCAUCCCUCGAUUGUGAGUUUUUAAGGUCUUGGGUCCUACUUCUGUAUGUGAGGUGGGGGGAAGUCACUCCUGUCAAGAGUAUAGAGACACAUUAGACUGUGGUCAUCAAAUGACUUCAGCUUUUUGAGACAUAAGCUUUGCAACAGUGACAAUAAUCAGUUUCCUUCGAAAGGCUAAACAAAGUGAAUAAAUUACAUUCACUCUAGGAGUUCUUGGAUGCUUGGAUGACCUGGUUUCACUGGGCAUAUGGCACCGGUAUUUCCUGGCAGGCUUUAUUUUAGUCCUACCUCGCCAGUCAUUGGAGCGAGGAGGGAAGGACAAGAGGGCCCAAGGGGAUGGGGACUUGUAAAAGGGAUCGGGGAAUACCGGAGAGGCAUUACAAAAUUGCUAACUUUUGGAAGGAUGGCUAGCUUGAGACAUCCCUUUUGUUUUUUUAAUUUAUUUAUUAAAUUUACAUCCAAGUUAGUUGGCACCUAGUGCAACACUGAUUUCAGGAGUAACUUCCUUAAUGCCCCUUACCCAUUUAGCCCCCCACCCUCCCACAACCCUCCAGGAACCCUCUGUUUGUUCUCCAUAUUUAAGAGUGAGAUAUCCCUUUUUAAUGGCCUCCCACAAACUUUCUAGACGGCACUGCCGGAGUAAGCAUUUUCUGGAUUACAUACUCAUGCAUAUGCAUAGGUAAUAUUACAUUUCCUGUUCUCAUCCUUCCAGAUCUACUCUCAGAGAAGUUGGUAGAGGAGGGAUUUUCUCCAAAUCAUCAGGGUUUCUUUUACAUAGAAUUCCACAUUAAAUGAAUAAAAAAUAAAAAAAAUAAAGCCUUGGAGUGCCACAUUAACUUCUCCUAGAAUACUGUUGGGAGCCUUAUGCUGUGCUUAAAAUGUCAACUGUCAAAAUAAUAUAGUUAUUUUUCCAGGAAAUCCCAAACAUCUGCAGUGAGCCUAGCAAGUCUAUAUAAAUGAAAUAGUACCUACAUCCCUCCGACCCUAGAAAAAUAAAUCUGGGGAGAAAAGAGAGCUUAGUCAAAGCAUCCUUUGUCCAUGGAAACCUCGUUUUCCAUAUUUGCUUAUUUUUAAACCCAACUCCUGAACAUAAACCAUCAUAUCCAAGUACCACCUCUUUGCUAAUUUAACAAGCCAUUAGAAGCUUUCUGUUUGCCUCCCAAAAGAUGACAAGAACAGUUUGCUGUCCUGGUUGAUGACCCCGGUAGAAAGUCCUCAUUUUAUACUUCUUGUGAGUACAAGGAACCCUAUGUCACAAAGGAAGUUAAAUGAGGGACUUUAUCUCCGAAGGCUUCAUACAGUUGAGUAGAAGGUGUACUAUUCAUUCGGAAGGGGAUAACACAGCUCACCUACAAAUUUAGAAAAGAAAAAAGAAAACCAAAAGGGUUUAAAAGGUGAUAACCCUGAAAGGUGUGUCUGCUACUUAAGUGCAGAGUCUCAAAAAUUAUAUGCUUUUGGGGGGAAAAAAUGUUUUCAGUUGAAUGAACGCAUUUGGAAUUAAUGAGGGGACUGAGCAUGAGUUCACUUAGCAUUUUGGGACAAACCCUGCCAUUUUGGUGGUUAUAGUAAAUCAGCCUGAGGGCAUGUGGACAAACAGAAAUAGAACAGCUACGUCCUUCUUUUAUCUUCCACACACACUCAUACGUGUGAUAUUUUGCUUGAUUCUUGGCAAGGUAUUCUUCUAAAAUGCCAACAGGUAACUAUUCUUCCCUUUGAUUUUUAAAGAGGUUUGUAUUUUCAGAGCCCAGAAGAUACAACGCACAAAUAAUAUUCCAACCACAUUGUGUUCAAUAUGUACGAUAAUAGAGGUGGGCGGUCCAUUUUUCAGAAAUGCCCAGGUUAAGUCUUCUGUUUGAUUUGUAAGUUCUACGUCUACUGAAACAGCUAGAGCCAGCUGUGUAAAAUAUUUGGAUUACUGCUUGAACUUGUGCCUUUAAAAUGUCUGGGGACUGACCGUGGCCACAAGAGCAGUUGUUCCUUUUAAGUAGAUCCAGCAGAAAUUAAAUAUCUGCAGGGGGGGCACAGGCUAAGAGGUGGGGCUCCCUCCAAGUCUGUUCCCCCAUGGCUCUGAACAUCCCUUCCAGCUCCUUGGAGAACCACGCUGUUUGGAGCGCAGCAGGAACUUGUUUACAGCACUUCAACCAGAGGGAGACCCUGAGCCUGUCAUUAACCUCUUUGCCGUCAGCAUUUUAAAGUGGAAAUACUAGCCAGCCUUGUAAUAUUUCAGCCAUUUUCCCCUCACUUCACAAUGUUGCCAAAGUAGAUGGGUCAGAAGAUGGGACUCUCCAUUUCUCUCGGUUCAAAACGCUCAGAAGAAGUUAGCAAUACCAACGUCCCCAUACACAAAAGGCCUUGGGAACAUUUGUUUAAAUUUGACUUUUGAAUCAACCCCAAGCAAUUGUUCCUUGGCAAGAGAUAUGUAACUUUAUCACAGAUAAAUUUUCCUCGCUCACAAUUCCUGGCCUGGAGUUGAUGUGGGGAUCAUGCAGAUGUGUGUUGGAAAUUAAACAGGGUACUACCAGGGUGGCCGCAAUUAAAUUCAGACUUGCAUUCAAACCAUGCCCUGUGCUGCAUUUCUUCGAGAACUUUGCUUUCUAUAGACAUUUCGAAAUGUUCCUUCACAAAAGGAGGAGGCAGGGUGGCUGGGCCCAAGUCCCCUAAAUCAAGGCAGUGAGAAGAGAAAGGGGGGAGUGUAGUUGUGGGGUGUCAAAGUAGCUGUUAAAAUACAUGAAUACUCAGACUUCUAAUUUAGGGUGUUUUCUCAGGGAGCCCAAAAGUUAUUCUCUCCCACAUUCACAGACAGGCUACAAUCAUUAUUUGGAAAAGAAAGAAAUUAUGAGCUCAUAUGGAACAUCAACCCACCAGCAUGUGUUACAAAGUGGAAUGGUUCCUUGAAAGAAAAAAAUGUCUUCCUCUGCUUAACAUACAUUUUAGGACGGAAAGGCUGAAUGUUAGCAAAUCCUGAUAAUAGUAGAGUCCUGGGCUCCUGUGACAAGUUGUUACAUGGCUUGAGAAAAAAAAAAAAAAAUGACCAAUUUGGAAUAAUUUUCUACAGAAUUACAGAUAGUACAAUAUUUAGAAGGAAGAAAACUACGGAGAAUCAAUGUUAGACGUGAUUUUUCCAGGCUACAACUAAGUUGAUAAGAAUCUGGAAGUUUGUUUGCUUUUUGGCAAAAUCACUUGAACGUGGAGUUCAAAUUUAAUCUGCUUUCUGAUUCUAGGCAGAAUCGGUUUAAUCGCUUUUAUGCAUUUGAAGAAAUAUGGAUUACAUUAAGUUAAAGUGGCUGAAAAAAAUUCCCAGCAUUUUCAUGCCUAUGCCAAAUGGCCAUUUGAAAUACUAUGCUAAAAAUCUACUUGAGAGUAUGCUUCUAUAACCUUUGAAAAGUUUGGGAGUUAUCAGAGGAGUUGGCCUGCUCAAAGCAGAUAAUCACUUUUGCAUAAAUGUCGCCCAAAAGAACAGCUCUCUGAUUAAGGUGCAAAAUAACAUAAUCCCAAGAUUCGUAACCACACCCGGGAUGGUCAAAAGCAUUUUUUUUUUUUGUAAUAUACAUUGGCAAGUUAUCACACACAUUUCACAUGCAAGCGUAAAUGAUCUGAAAAAGACAAUCACUGGCUCAGGCUGAACUGAUUUCAACAUUUGAGCAAAUCACAAACAGCAGAUCUGGCCUUACUUAAAAUUUCCAUCUAGUUGUUGAACGGAACAAAAAUAAACAAAUGGAAACCUUGACAGAUGAAUAAGACUCUUCUCAUGAUUUUUUAAACCCGAAAAUGCAGCAGGAAACAAAUCCCACCACGGAAGUCCUUGCAGACAAACUGCCUUUGGCAUCUAGUCUGGAGCAAACAAUCUCCAAAGACCACCCCCCUCGCUCUCCCACCAGAACCCUCCACUCUUGCUUUAUUUCCUAAUUCCGUGGACUGGAUUGCUGAGCUGUUUAUCAAACAGUGUGCAAUAAAAUCGGCUUCACUCUACUACUCUAUGAACUCUUGCAAUUUUCUCCCUCCUCCUGGACAGAGGCCACUAGUCAGGGAAAGCCUCAGGAAAAAAAAAAAAAAAAAAAAAAGGCAGAUCAGGGAAAGCGAAGAAACAAUAGACAACCAUGGCUUUGACAAUGCCUUCCCUCAACCCUCUUUCUGCUCCUGCUGUGACACUUGCAUUCAAGAGCAAGGGUGGCUGCCAUCGGAUGCGUGGACAAUGGACUGAGGAAUACAAGGCAGGGGGGAAAAAAGGAGAUCAGAUGAAUUCUGAGCUAAGAUGGCAGGGCUCUCACCUUUUCCGUGUGUUUGCGAAUAGUCUGGAUGGAGGCGUCCCGCAGAGAAGAAAUAAAAAGGGUGUCUGAAUUGUUGGAUGGUUCUGAAGGCUUCUGCAUGUUGCAAACGCAUUUUAGAACUAUUUGCAGGGGUAUACUUGCUGCCAGCCAUCUCCCUCUCCCUCUCCCUCUCUCUCUCUCUCUCUCUCUCUCUCUCUCUCUCUCUCUCUCUCUCUCUCUCUCUCUCUCUCCUCUGUUUUAUGUCCUGCUAUCUCCAUCACACCUCUAUUAGUAUGAAGACUUUCUGCCUGUGUAAGUAAGUGAGAGUGUGCGUUCCUUGGUGUUUGAAUCAAGACCCACGUCCGCAUGCAUUUCUAAUCUAAGGAGCCUAUAGCGGUUACUAGAACUAUCAAUUAGUCAGCAACAGCAGAGACCCUCAACGCCUCUGAAGGAACAAAGGUGGAAAGACAUGCAAAUACUCUGGCACCUGGAUCACGCAACUUGCUGGCUACAAAUAGGGGCAUCUUUUCCUGGUUUUUUUUUUUUCUGUUUAACUCUCAAAUCUAUGUGAUAUUACAGGUUACUAAUGUAUCCAGCUGCAUAAUUAGGUAUGGGAGCGCCUCUAGGUAUAUAUGCUUCUUUGGCAUCAUUG
rnacentral:lncRNA from 1 species